UACGUAGGCAGCGAGCGUUGUUCGGAGUUACUGGGCGUAAAGGGUGUGUAGGCGGUUGUUUAAGUUUGGUGUGAAAUCUCCCGGCUCAACUGGGAGGGUGCGCCGAAUACUGAAUGACUUGGAGUGCGGGAGAGGUGAGUGGCAUUCCUGGUGUAGCGGUGAAAUGCGUAGAUAUCAGGAGGAACACCGGUGGUGUAGACGGCUCACUGGACCGUAACUGACGCUGAGACACGAAAGCGUGGGUAGCAAACAGG
rnacentral:rRNA from 1 species